CAGCAGCCGCGGGAAUACAGAGGCCUCAAGCGUUGUUCGGAUUCAUUGGGCGUAAAGGGUGCGUAGGUGGCUUGGUAAGUUGAAGGUGAAAUCUCGGGGCUUAACCCCGAAACUGCCUUCAAUACUGCUAGGCUCGAGGACUGUAGAGGAGAAUGGAAUUCACGGUGUAGCAGUGAAAUGCGUAGAUAUCGUGAGGAAGACCAGUGGCGAAGGCGAUUCUCUGGGCAGUUCCUGACACUGAGGCACGAAGGCCAGGGGAGCAAACGGGAUUAGAUACCCCCGUAGUCCCUGUCUCUUAUAC
rnacentral:rRNA from 1 species